AUGGAAGUUGCCAAGUUGAUUGCUAUGACAGCAGAGCAUGGGGGGGAAGGCGGGGGAGGAGUAGAGAUGGCGGCGGCGGCUCCGGGGGGCAGGGGCGGGGAGCCCCGGGGAGCCGACGGGGUCGGCCCGGGGGGUCCCGGGGGAAGUGGAGGUGGUGAAGGGGCAGCCGUUCGACGUGGGCCCGCGCUACACGCAGCUGCAGUACAUCGGCGAGGGGGCGUACGGCUUGGUCAGCUCCACUUAUGACCACUUGCGAAAGACCCGGGUGGCCAUCAAGAAGAUCAGUCCCUUUGAGCAUCAGACCUACUGCCAGCGCACACUCCGGGAGAUCCAGAUCCUGCUGCGCUUCCGCCAUGAGAAUGUCAUAGGCAUCUGAGACAUUCUCUGGGCACCUACACUGGAAGCCAUGAGGGAUGUCUACAUUGUACAGGACCUGAUGGAGACAGAUCUAUACAAGUUGCUCAAAAGCCAGCAGCUGAGCAACGAUCACAUCUACUUCCUGUACCAGAUCCUGCGUGGCCUCAAGUAUAUCCACUCAGCCAACGUGCUGCACCGAGACCUGAAGCCCUGGUCCAACCUGCUCAUCAACACCACCUGCGACCUUAAGAUAUGCGAUUUCGGCCUGCCCCGCAUUGCAGAUCCUGAGCACGACCACACAGGCUUUCUGACGGAGUAUGUGGCCACACGCUGGUACCGGGCCCCCGAGAUCAUGCUUAACUCCAAGGGCUAUACCAAGUCCAUCGACAUCUGGUCUGUGGGCUGCAUUCUGGCUGAAAUGCUCUCCAACCGGCCCAUCUUCCCUGGCAAGGACUACCUGGACCAGCUCAACCACAUUCUGGAGAUUCUGGGCUCCCCUUCCCAGGAAGACCUGAAUUGCAUCAUCAACAUGAAAGCCCGAAACUACCUACAUUCGCUGCCGUCCAAGACCAAGGUGGCUUGGGCCAAGCUUUUUCCCAAGUUGGACUCUAAAGCUCUUGACCUGCUGGACCGGAUGUUAACCUUCAACCCCAACAAGCGGAUCACAGUGGAGGAAGCACGGGCCCACCCCUACCUGGAGCAGUACUACGAUCCCACAAAUGAGCCAGUGGCUGAGGAGUCCUUCACUUUUGACAUGGAGCUGGAUGAUCUACCCAAGGAGUGGCUGAAGGAGCUCAUCUUCCAGGAGACAGCCCACUUCCAGCCAGGGGGCCCAGAUGCCCCCUAACCCCGUCAGAAAUGCCUGUUCCUCAGGGUCUGGCCUUGUCACCUGCCCACCCUCCCCUGUUGGGCUGUUAGAAAACGGACACUGUGCUCAGCCCAGACCCCAGCAGCUCGGCCAGGCCAAAGGUGGGCCUGUCCACCUUCUCACCCUUUGCUGGGGUCUCCUGCUUGAAGCAGGAUAAGGUUCCCUUCUGCCCCAUCCCUUUCUCUUUUCACCGAGGGCCUGAGAGGCUCGAGGCUCCUAAGCAAAUACCUACCCAGGCUAGCCCAAGGCUAGACCACUCUGCAGUGCAAGGGCUGUGGCUACCCCAGGAUGGAGUACCCAGGGGCUGGGGUGCUGAGUAGGAACUCAAGACAAGCCCUCCCCACUCACCCCAUUAGAACCCCACCCUGUUUCCCCUGUGGGACCAUUCCCAAGUCUCAAGGGCUAGUAUCCUGAGGAGCUGGGCCCAGGCCUUCCCCUCCCCCUCUCUGCCCCCCAAAAGCUGCCACAUUUAACGCCUUGCUGCUUCUGUGUGUGGGUGAGAGAAGCGGACUGAUGUGGGUGGGGCCCUCCCCGUGGGGCCCUCCCCGCCCCCG